rnacentral:rRNA from 1 species
CAGCAGCCGCGGUAAUACGUAGGGUGCAAGCGUUAAUCGGAAUUACUGGGCGUAAAGCGUGCGCAGGCGGUUAUAUAAGACAGAUGUGAAAUCCCCGGGCUCAACCUGGGAACUGCAUUUGUGACUGUAUAGCUAGAGUACGGCAGAGGGGGAUGGAAUUCCGCGUGUAGCAGUGAAAUGCGUAGAUAUGCGGAGGAACACCGAUGGCGAAGGCAAUCCCCUGGGCCUGUACUGACGCUCAUGCACGAAAGCGUGGGGAGCAAACAGGAUUAGAUCCCCCGUAGUCCCUGUCUCUCAUACA